rnacentral:rRNA from 1 species
CGCGGCCUAUCAGCUUGUUGGUGAGGUAAAGGCUUACCAAGGCAUUGACGGGUAGCUGGUCUGAGAGGACGAUCAGCCACACUGGGACUGAGACACGGCCCAGACUCCUGCGGGAGGCAGCAGUGGGGAAUCUUGCGCAAUGAGCGAAAGCCUGACGCAGCAACGCCGCGUGGGGGAUGAAGGCUCUCGGGUUGUAAACCCCUUUCAGCAGGGACGAAAUUGACGGUACCUGUAGAAGAAGCCACGGCCAACUACGUGCCAGCAGCCGCGGUAACACGUAGGGGGCAAGCGUUGUCCGGAAUUAUUGGGCGUAAAGGGCUCGUAGGCGGUUCGGUAAGUCAGAUGUGGAAGGUUGGGGCUCAACCCUAAGACUGCAUUUGAUACUGCCGUGACUGGAGUCCGGUAGAGGAGUGUGGAAUUCCUGGUGUAGCGGUGAAAUGCGCAGAUAUCAGGAGGAACACCGACGGCGAAGGCAGCACUCUGGGCCGGUACUGACGCUGAGGAGCGAAAGCGUGGGUAGCAAACAGGAUUAGAUACCCUGGUAGUCCACGCCGUAAACGUUGGGCACUAGGUGUGGGGCCUUAUCAACGGGUUCCGUGCCGUAGCUAGCGCAUUAAGUGCCCCGCCUGGGGAGUACGG